GACGAACGCUGGCGGCGUGCUUAACACAUGCAAGUCGAACGGAAAGGCCCUGCUUUUGUGGGGUGCUCGAGUGGCGAACGGGUGAGUAACACGUGAGUAACCUGCCCUUGACUUUGGGAUAACUUCAGGAAACUGGGGCUAAUACCGGAUAGGAGCUCCUGCUGCAUGGUGGGGGUUGGAAAGUUUCGGCGGUUGGGGAUGGACUCGCGGCUUAUCAGCUUGUUGGUGGGGUAGUGGCUUACCAAGGCUUUGACGGGUAGCCGGCCUGAGAGGGUGACCGGCCACAUUGGGACUGAGAUACGGCCGAGACUCCUACGGGAGGCAGCAGGGGGGAAUAUUGCACAAUGGGCGGAAGCCUGAUGCAGCAACGCCGGGUGCGGGAUGACGGCCGUCGGGUUGUAAACCGCUUUCGCCUGUGACGAAGCGUGAGUGACGGUAAUGGGUAAAGAAGCACCGGCUAACUACGUG
rnacentral:rRNA from 1 species